GCGCUCGUAGCUCAAUUGGAUAGAGCAACGGAUUUCUAAUCCGUAGGUUAGGGGUUCAAGUCCCUUCGGGCGUA
rnacentral:tRNA from 1 species